rnacentral:rRNA from 1 species
UACGUAGGUGGCAAGCGUUAUCCGGAAUUACUGGGCGUAAAGCGCACGCAGGCGGCGCAUCAAGUUCGACGUGAAAGCUCCCGGCUUAACUGGGAGAGGUCGUUGAAGACUGAUGGGCUUGAGGCAAUGAGAGGGGUGUAGAAUUCCCGGUGUAGUGGUGGAAUGCGUAGAUAUCGGGGGGAAUACCAGUGGCGAAAGCGGCACCCUAGCAUUAGCCUGACGCUCAUGUGCGAAAGCGUGGGGAGCGAACGGG